GACGAACGCUGGCGGCGUGCUUAACACAUGCAAGUCGAACGGAAGGCCCUGCUUUUUUUGGGUUCUCGAUUGGCGAACGGGUUAGUAAUACCUUAUUUACCUUCCCUUUUCUUUUGGUUUACUUCAUGUAACUUGGGCUUAUACCGCCUUGUAGCUCCUUUUUCCUUGUUGUGUUUGGUUAAUUUCGGCGGUUGGGGUUUGAUGCGAGGCUUAUCAGCUUGUUGGGGGGGUAGUGGCUUUCCAAGGCAUUGACGGGUAGGCGGCCUGAGAGGGUGACCGGCCACAAGGGGACUGAGAUACGGCCCAGACUCGUACGGGAGGCAGCAGUGGGGAAUAUUGCACAAUGGGCGGAAGCCUGAUGCAGCAACGCCGCGUGCGGGAUGACGGCCUUCGGGUUGUAAACCGCUUUCGCCUGUGACGAAGCGUGAGUGACGGUAAUGGGUAAAGAAGCACCGGCUAACUACGUG
rnacentral:rRNA from 1 species